GUUUCCGAUGGGAAGCUGCCGGCCAUGCUGCAUUUUGGUGAUAGUGCAAGUUACGUCUUGUAGUCACCUGCGCGAGGACUGCGUAAGGAAAAGAAAAAAAAAAAGACAUUUAUAUACAGCUAGCAAUUUUCUUCCGAAUUCAGGUGCUUUAGGUUUUUCUUAAUAAGCCAGACCUCAAGUAAGUAGAUGUUGUGUGGGAAUGGAUGGAGCUAGGGAGAUAAUCCAGGCCCUGAAUUAAUGAAGAAAAAGGACAUGACUGCUUCUAAGUAAUGUUGAAGGAGACAGCAUAUUGUAGAUAUGAAGGGAACUUGAGUUCUGUUCCCAGCACCCACUUCAGGAAGCACAACCACCUGUAAGUCCAGGUCCAGAAGAGCACCAGCAUACAGUAAAGAUUUCUCUACUCCUGACCACUGACUUUCGAAUGGUAGACCAAGGUGCUAUGCUCUUAGCAGGGACUUGUCAAAUGCUGAAAUCAUUGGAUCUCUCUGGGCCGUUUGUCAUGAGCUGGUUCGGUUUCAAAGAGGAGUAUCUAUAACCCAGGGCCUUCGUGGACAGAUAUGCACACUGGAUACUGCACAGCUAUAGUGUGGGCAUUAAAAGCUCCCCAGAGCUUUACCACCUCACCCUGUUCUCAAAGUCUGCCACCACCAGCUGUUGGGAUUGGAGAAAAGAAAGCUGGGAUGUGGGCAAGGACAAAUCUCAACAUCCAUUAUGACAUUCUGCUACAUUCUCUUUUACACAAGAUACCCUGUCUCUAUUGAAUUAUCCCUUUGCCAUCCAUGACAGCCCCUUGCUAACAACUCUCUCUGCUUUGCCCUUCCCAGUCUAAGUGGAUUGAGCAGGGGCAACAGGGAACUACAUGCAAGCGGGAAGGAGGUGUCGGGUCUUACACUUCGUGAGCAUACCCUUCAUCCUUAGAGAGAUGUCUCUGUGAGUUCCUGAAUGCACAGUGGUAUGGAAGUGUUCUCCCGGCAUGUAUGCAAGUGUGCCAUGUGAGUGCCUGGUGCCUACAGAGGUCAGAAGAGGGUGAUGGAUCCCCUGGAACUGAACUUCAGAGGGCUGUGAGCUGCCAUGUGGGUACUUGGAACUGAACCUCUGUCCUCUGGAAGAACAGCAAGUGCUUUUAACUCUUCAAGCUCUGUGCCAAUUAUUUUUAAAAUGUACUUGAUUACAAACAAAUGAGAUUCAUACUCAUUGGUGUGAUUCAAUACAUUAUCUAUUACAUAAUA